rnacentral:snoRNA from 1 species
CUCGCUAUGAUUAUUUGCAAUACCAAUUGUUCCUACUGAUUCACAUAUGUAGACAAUAGGCACUAUCGUUAAGUUUCAGCCUUGUAUGAGCCUU